rnacentral:rRNA from 1 species
ACUCCUACGGGAGGCAGCAGUGGGGAAUAUUGCACAAUGGGCGAAAGCCUGAUGCAGCGACGCCGCGUGAGUGAAGAAGGCCUUCGGGUCGUAAAGCUCUGUUGUAAGGGACGAAUGUUCCUAUGGCAAAUAGCCAUAGGGAGUGACGGUACCUUACCAGCAAGCCCCGGCUAACUACGUGCCAGCAGCCGCGGUAAU